rnacentral:tRNA from 1 species
GUGGCUGUAGCUCAGCGGAUAGAGCGCCAACCUAACGAAUUUGGAGGUCGUAGGUUCGAAUCCUACCAGCCAUA